rnacentral:lncRNA from 1 species
GGGACAGGGUCCACGGCAGCCGCCAUCUUGGCUGAGGGCAAAGACGCUCCUGGCGCUCCCGUCUUUCGGCUUGCCUCAGUUGCCACUGCCAUCUUGGAUCAGGGUAAUUCCCGCCUCUUGGGCGCUCCCGGUUACAACCUCGGCGCCAUCUUGGAUUAGUUCAAUGUAGCCACCCUCUCCAGGCCCGCUGCUUCUGCCAGCUGGAUGUUGCGUCGUCCCUCGCUAUUCGCCCUCCUAUAAUCACUGCUUCCAUGUUGAAUCAAAACAAUUAUGCUUUCGUUCUCCCUUCUUCAAUUGCCCUAUCUUCACACCUGAACACUAUUGCUCCGGUAUCCUGCCAUUUUGGAUCAGGGCGGUUGACGGUGGAUUCACUUCCCAUCAGCCCUUGAGGCUGCAGGGACCAGCCCUUUGUACAGUGGAGAAGCCCAGGCGGCCUAGAAUCCAGUGUCGUCCGUGAGUGCUUGGCUGGUGUUCAAGUGCAUCUUCCAGCCUGAGACCGCGUGGACUCGCUCAUCGUGAGGGCGAGAGGAGGAUAAGCCCAUUGGGCUGUCGGCUGAGAGUGAGACCAUCCACAAUAUUGUUUGAACAUCUGAAGACAUGGGGAACUUGCCAUCUGAUAUCUGAUAACAGACUUCCUGUAAAGCAGGACUGGUAGUUUCCUGAUAACAAAUUCUUCAAUAUGAAGGAUAUAGCUGUGUCCUUUACAACUGGUAGCAUGGAAAGAAAGAGAAGUCUGCAAAGAUUGAACAAACAGCAUGCACUGUGGUAUCCUUUAUUUAAAAAUUGUGAGCUGACUACAGUUGUAGUGUUCUCAUUUACCAUUCUGAUGGCAUAAUAAACCAAGAGAACAUUAACACAAUUCCAAGAAGGCAUUAACCUGUAACACACAUAUACGCCACACAUGCACACACACAACAUACACGCACACAAAGGUUAUAUUCUGAACACAAAAGUGAUAGAAAAAAGCUUUGAAUGCGCUAAAUCAAAUAAAAACCCUUUAUUAUAAUAAA